rnacentral:rRNA from 2 species
CAGCCGCCGCGGUAACACCAGCCCCUCGAGUGGUGGGGAUGAUUAUUUGGCCUAAAGCGUCCGUAGCCUGCUCUGUAAGUCUCUCGUUAAAUCCAGCGUCCUAAGCGUUGGGCUGCGAGAGAGACUGCAGAGCUAGAGGGUGGGAGAGGUCAGUGGUAUUCCUGGGGUAGGGGCGAAAUCCAUUGAUCCCAGGAGGACCACCAGUGGCGAAGGCUGCUGACUAGAACACGCCUGACGGUGAGGGACGAAAGCUGGGGUAGCGAAUCGGAUUAGAUACCCGAGUAGUCCCAGCCGUAAACGAUGCAGGCUAGGUGUUGGGUUGGCCACGAGCCACCUCAGUGCCACAGGGAAGCCAUUAAGUAUGCCGCCUGGGAAGUACGGCCGCAAGGCUGAAACUUAAAGGUAUUGGCGGGGGAGCAC